rnacentral:rRNA from 1 species
CAAUAGCGUAUAUUAAAGUUGUUGCAGUUAAAAAGCUCGUAGUUGAAGCUUGGGCCUGGCUGGCGGGUCCGCCUCACCGCGUGCACUCGUCCGGCCGGGCCUUCCUUCUGAAGAACCUCAUGCCCUUCACUGGGCGUGCUGGGGAAUCAGGACUUUUACUUUGAAAAAAUUAGAGUGUUCAAAGCAGGCCUUUGCUCGAAUACGUUAGCAUGGAAUAAUAAAAUAGGGCGUGCGUUUCUAUUUUGUUGGUUUCUAGAGACGCCGCAAUGAUUAACAGGAACAGUCGGGGGCAUCAGUAUUCAGUUGUCAGAGGUGAAAUUCUUGGAUUUACUGAAGACUAACUACUGCGAAAGCAUUUGCCAUGGAUGUUUUCAUUAA